rnacentral:rRNA from 1 species
UCUCCGAUUGAAUGGCUUAGUGAGGUCUUGGGAUUGGCUUCGGGGAGCCGGCAACGGCACCCCUGUCGCUGAGAACUUGAUCAAACUUGGUCAUUUAGAGGAAGUAAAAGUCGUAACAAGGUUUCCGUAGGUGAACCUGCGGAAGGAUCAUUAUCGAGUUUUGACUGGGUUGUAGCUGGCCUUCCGAGGCAUGUGCACGCCCUGCUCAUCCACUCUACACCUGUGCACUUACUGUGGGCUUCAGAUCGUGAAACGGGCCCUUUAUCGGGCUCGCGGAGCGUGUCUGUGCCUGCGUUUAUUACAAACUCUAUAAAGUAUCAGAAUGUGUAUUGCGAUGUAACGCAUCUAUAUACAACUUUCAGCAACGGAUCUCUUGGCUCUCGCAUCGAUGAAGAACGCAGCGAAAUGCGAUAAGUAAUGUGAAUUGCAGAAUUCAGUGAAUCAUCGAAUCUUUGAACGCACCUUGCGCUCCUUGGUAUUCCGAGGAGCAUGCCUGUUUGAGUGUCAUGAAAUCUUCAACCUACAAGCUUUUUGUGGUUUGUAGGCUUGGACUUGGAGGCUUGUCGGCCGUUCUUGGUCGGCUCCUCUUAAAUGCAUUAGCUUGGUUCCUUGCGGAUCGGCUCUCGGUGUGAUAAUGUCUACGCCGCGACCGUGAAGCGUCUGGCGAGCUUCUAACCGUCUCAGUUGGAGACAGCUUUAUGACCUCUGACCUCAAAUCAGGUAGGACUACCCCGCUGAACUUAAGCAUAUCAAUAGCGA